rnacentral:tRNA from 1 species
ACUUUAGUAGCUUAAACUCAAAGCAUUGCACUGAAGAUGCAAGGAUAGCAAUAUUGCUCUUAAGUA